UCUCACAUUUAUUUAGUCUAAAUGUAAUGUUUGGUUUAAAACGUGUAGGUUUUUGUUGGCAUAAGACUGGAAGAGGAGGAGUUUGGCACAUACUGUAGAUCUGAGAUGAUCUUGUUACAUUUUCUAUACUGUCACAAAGCUCAGUCCUGCUGUAGUGAAACACACAUGUACAAUGAUUCUUCAUUCAGUCAUCCUACUUUGGACCUUGACAUGUGUGAGUUUUGGAGCUGAAAUCACACCAGACAGCACUGAGGAAUCUGCUGCAGUGGGUUCAACUGUUACUUUAUCCUGCAGUUAUUCCUCUGCAGACUCACUUCAGUGGUACCGUCAGUAUCCCGGAUCAGCUCCUCAAUUUCUUGUGCUUAUAAUUGAGAGUGUGAAAGAGACUAAGCCAUCUAAUGUAGAUCCCAGGUUCUCUACUAAGCUCAGAAAAGAAACUCAAGCAACAAAAGAGAUCAGCCGUGUGGAUCUGAUCUUCUCCUCUGCUGCUGUAUCAGACUCUGCUCUGUAUUACUGUGCUCUGAGGCCCACAGUCACAGGAAACACAAGAACACUCUACAAAAACCUGACAUGUGAAAAAGCAUAACUAUACCUUCUACAAAUCAGACUAAACAGACUAGAGCAGCCUCAUCACCUGGGGAAAAAACAAAUGAUUCCAAAUAAGUAUGUUCUAUACAGUAUGAAUGUGUGUAAUAUAAAUGUAAUCUGGAUGUACUACAACAGCCAUGUUGUCAUUGCCACGCGACCUACCAGUGUCAGUAUCGUUGCGUCACUGCCAUUCAUAAAUCCAAUGGCCUCAUGGGACAGUAAAGUCUCCAUCAUAUGCACACUUAAGAAUUACGCCAGAAGUAGUAGGGCAUCAGUGUACUUUUUGCCUACUCUUUUUUACUGUGAAUUCGGACUUCAUUUGUUACAUACUGUCUUUCACCUACUAAAUAAUAGGGAAGUAUGUG